UUUUGGCUGCACAGUCGCGCGCUCACGCCACGCGCGCAGUGAAUCAGAGCCAUUUCGCUUCCGCCGGUGAGGGAAAGGACAAGAAAGGGUGUCGCACGUGCUGCCGCCGACUUCGUUCAGUUCAUUCUCGCAAAAUGGAUGGGACGUUCACGCGUUCCGCGUUCCCCCGAGGAAAUGGCCGCCUUCGACAAGCAGCGGUGAGAACUCGCCCGUGAGAGGGCUCGGUGUCGGCGCGCCGAUCCAGCUUUUAGAGCCGCCCGAGACCAGGCAAUCCAACAGCAACGAGAUGUUCCCGAGCUGAGGGAGUGGGAGGCUGAAGCAAUCCGGCACCUUUAGCUGUGGAUUACUUAACCGUGAGGAAGGUCGGGUGCACGCUGGACGAGCUGCGCUUACUCCCCCGUUUUCCGGUAGGGGAAUGAUCCUGCAGCUGACCAUGCACACUUCGCCGCCUAGGAGCAAGCCCCGCUAUUUCUGUAAUGAUCACUGCAUGCCGGGGACGUCAUCACAACUGGCUGCUGGAAACUUCUAAGCGGAUCGACCUUAUCAGCCGAAACCGAGUAUAUAAAACCAUUCCAAAUCGUCCCAGUCUUCAAUGGGAGUGCCUAAGCAGACAUUGCUCGUCUUACAGGUUCGAGACCCGACGUUCGAGCUACGCUGCUCCUGCCUGAGUCAGCAGCUACUCGGUGGUCCAUGCACCAAAUUGUUUCUCAUCGAGGAAAUGUUGUUCGAAGUCCGUGGUGGGGAGAUCCUCGUCAUCAUCGCCACUUCCGGGGAGCACG